GUAAAUAAAGACAUAACGUCACUAGUUUAUAAGAGUCAAUCCCCAAUUCAAUCAAAAUAUUGUUUUCUCUCUCUCUCCAUAAACAAAUAGUAUUUUUGAUCUGACUCUUCUGAAACUAAUGAUUAAUUCAGUUGUCUUUGUUUGGAUAACAUAUUGACUGAUUUUUACAUCAGUAAAAAAACUCGGAAUCCCAUCCGAGUUUUUU
rfam:Streptococcus parauberis NCFD 2020 Noncontiguous_Finished_Chromosome chromosome, whole genome shotgun sequence.